rnacentral:tRNA from 1 species
GGUUGGAGAGAUGGCUCAGUGGUUAAGAGCACUGACUGCUCUUCCAGAGGUCCUGAGUUCAAUUCCUAGCAACCA